rnacentral:rRNA from 1 species
AUACGUAGGGUGCGAGCGUUGUCCGGAAUUACUGGGCGUAAAGAGCUCGUAGGUGGUUUGUCGCGUCGUCUGUGAAAUUCCGGGGCUUAACUCCGGGCGUGCAGGCGAUACGGGCAUAACUUGAGUACUGUAGGGGAGACUGGAAUUCCUGGUGUAGCGGUGAAAUGCGCAGAUAUCAGGAGGAACACCGGUGGCGAAGGCGGGUCGCUGGGCAGUAACUGACGCUGAGGAGCGAAAGCAUGGGUAGCGAGCAGGAUUAGAUACCCUGGUAGUCCAUGCCGUAAACGGUGGGCGCUAGGUGUAGGGGUCUUCCACGACUUCUGUGCCGUAGCUAACGCAUUAAGCGCCCCGCCUGGGGAGUACGGCCGCAAGGCUAAAACUCAAAGGAAUUGACGGGG